rnacentral:rRNA from 1 species
AUUGAACGCUGGCGGCAGGCUUAACACAUGCAAGUCGAGCGAGCGGCGGACGGGUGAGUAAUGUCUGGGAAACUGCCUGAUGGAGGGGGCUAACUACUGGAAACUGUAGCUAAUACCGCAUAACAUCAGAUGUGCCCAGAUGGCAUUAGCUAGUAGGUGGGGUAAUGGCUCACCAAGGCGACUAUACCUAACUGGUCUGAUAGGAUGAUCAGCCACACUGGAACUGAGACACGGACCAGAGUCCUACGGGAGGAAGCAGUGGGGAAUAUUGCACAAUGGGCGAAAGCCUGAUGCAGCCAUGCCGCGUGUGUGAAGAAGGCCUUCGGGUUGUAAAGCACUUGCAGCGAGGAGGCGUUACUCGCAGAAGAAGCACCGGCUAACUCCGUGCCAGCAGCCGCGGUAAUAC